CCUUAGAGUUUGAUCCUGGGGCUCAGGAUGAACGUCUGACAGCCAUUCUUAACACAUGCAAGUCUACUUGAUCCUUCGGGUGAUGGUGGCGGACGGGUGAGUAACGCGUAAAGAACUUGCCCUGCAGUCUGGGACAACAUUUGGAAACGAAUGCUAAUACCGGAUAUUAUGUGAGUUUCGCAUGAAAUUCAUAUGAAAGCUAUAUGCGCUGCAGGAGAGCUUUGCGUCCUAUUAGCUAGUUGGUGAGGUAACGGCUCACCAAGGCGAUGAUAGGUAGCCGGCCUGAGAGGGUGAACGGCCACAAGGGGACUGAGACACGGCCCUUACUCCUACGGGAGGCAGCAGUGGGGAAUAUUGGACAAUGGACCAAAAGUCUGAUCCAGCAAUUCUGUGUGCACGAUGAAGUUUUUCGGAAUGUAAAGUGCUUUCAGUUGGGACGAAGUAAGUGACGGUACCAACAGAAGAAGCGACGGCUAAAUACGUGCCAGCAGCCGCGGUAAUACGUAUGUCGCAAGCGUUAUCCGGAUUUAUUGGGCGUAAAGCGCGUCUAGGCGGUUUGGUAAGUCUGAUGUGAAAAUGCGGGGCUCAACUCCGUAUUGCGUUGGAAACUGCCAAACUAGAGUACUGGAGAGGUGGGCGGAACUACAAGUGUAGAGGUGAAAUUCGUAGAUAUUUGUAGGAAUGCCGAUGGGGAAGCCAGCCCACUGGACAGAUACUGACGCUAAAGCGCGAAAGCGUGGGUAGCAAACAGG
rnacentral:rRNA from 1 species